AUCCAACUGACUAGUUUAACAUGGGACGAAACGCGCGUCCUAGAU
rfam:Schistosoma mattheei strain Denwood, Zambia genome assembly, scaffold: SMTD_scaffold0015446